rnacentral:rRNA from 1 species
UACGAAGGGGGCGAGCGUUGUUCGGAAUCACUGGGCGUAAAGCGCACGUAGGCGGCGCGUUAAGUCAGGGGUGAAAUCCUGGAGCUCAACUCCAGAACUGCCUUUGAUACUGGCGUGCUCGAGUGUGGGAGAGGUUGGUGGAACUCCGAGUGUAGAGGGGAAAUUCGUAGAUAUUCGGAAGAACACCAGUGGCGAAGGCGGCCAACUGGCCCAUUACUGACGCUGAGGUGCGAAAGCGUGGGGAGCAUACAGG